GUUGUUGCUGGCCCUCUAGGGGGCAUGUGCACACCCGCCAUCCUCAUCUCUCCACCUGUGCACCUCUUGUAGAUCUGGAUAGACUUUCCGAGGCAACUCGGUCGGGAAGAUUGCUGCACUCUGUGAGCCAGCUUUCUUUGCAUGUCCAGGUCUAUGUUUUUCAUAUACCCCUAUAGAAUGUAACAGAAUGUAUCAUCGGGCUUUGUGCCUAUAAACCUAAUACAACUUUCAGCAACGGAUCUCUUGGCUCUCGCAUCGAUGAAGAACGCAGCGAAAUGCGAUAAGUAAUGUGAAUUGCAGAAUUCAGUGAAUCAUCGAAUCUUUGAACGCACCUUGCGCUCCUUGGUAUUCCGAGGAGCAUGCCUGUUUGAGUGUCAUUAAAUUCUCAACCUUAUUAGCUUUUGUUAAUAAUGGAUUGGAUGUGGGGGUUUCUUUUGCUGGUUUCAUCACAGAGAUCAGCUCCCCUUAAAUGCAUUAGCUGGUGCCCCGCGUGGACCAUCUAUUGGUGUGAUAAUUAUCUACGCCGUGGAUGUCUGCAAUUAUAUGGGUUUUGCACUGCUUCUAACCGUCUGUUCAUUCGGACAAUAUUGACAAUUUGACCUCAAAUCAGGUAGGACUACCCGCUGAACUUAAGCAUAUCAAUAAGCGGAGGAAAAGAAACUAACAAGGAUUCCCCUAGUAACUGCGAGUGAAACGGGAAAAGCUCAAAUUUAAAAUCUGGCGGUCUCCGGCCGUCC
rnacentral:rRNA from 1 species